rnacentral:rRNA from 1 species
UACAGGCUUAACACAUGCAAGUCGAGGGGCAUCAGGAAGAAAGCUUGCUUUCUUUGCUGGCGACCGGCGCACGGGUGAGUAACACGUAUCCAACCUGCCCUUUACUCGGGGAUAGCCUUUCGAAAGAAAGAUUAAUACCCGAUAGCAUAAUGAUUCCGCAUGGUUUCAUUAUUAAAGGAUUCCGGUAAAGGAUGGGGAUGCGUUCCAUUAGGUUGUUGGUGAGGUAACGGCCCACCAAGCCUUCGAUGGAUAGGGGUUCUGAGAGGAAGGUCCCCCACAUUGGAACUGAGACACGGUCCAAACUCCUACGGGAGGCAGCAGUGAGGAAUAUUGGUCAAUGGGCGCUAGCCUGAACCAGCCAAGUAGCGUGAAGGAUGAAGGCUCUAUGGGUCGUAAACUUCUUUUAUAUAAGAAUAAAGUGCAGUAUGUAUACUGUUUUGUAUGUAUUAUAUGAAUAAGGAUCGGCUAACUCCGUGCCAGCAGCCGCGGUAAUACGGAGGAUCCGAGCGUUAUCCGGAUUUAUUGGGUUUAAAGGGAGCGUAGGUGGACUGGUAAGUCAGUCGUGAAAGUUUGCGGCUCAACCGUAAAAUUGCAGUUGAUACUGUCAGUCUUGAGUACAGUAGAGGUGGGCGGAAUUCGUGGUGUAGCGGUGAAAUGCUUAGAUAUCACGAAGAACUCCGAUUGCGAAGGCAGCUCACUGGACUGCAACUGACACUGAUGCUCGAAAGUGUGGGUAUCAAACAGGAUUAGAUACCCUGGUAGUCCACACAGUAAACGAUGAAUACUCGCUGUUUGCGAUAUACAGUAAGCGGCCAAGCGAAAGCAUUAAGUAUUCCACCUGGGGAGUACGCCGGCAACGGUGAAACUCAAAGGAAUUGACGGGGGCCCGCACAAGCGGAGGAACAUGUGGUUUAAUUCGAUGAUACGCGAGGAACCUUACCCGGGCUUAAAUUGCAGUGGAAUGAUGUGGAAACAUGUCAGUGAGCAAUCACCGCUGUGAAGGUGCUGCAUGGUUGUCGUCAGCUCGUGCCGUGAGGUGUCGGCUUAAGUGCCAUAACGAGCGCAACCCUUAUCUUUAGUUACUAACAGGUUAUGCUGAGGACUCUAGAGAGACUGCCGUCGUAAGAUGUGAGGAAGGUGGGGAUGACGUCAAAUCAGCACGGCCCUUACGUCCGGGGCUACACACGUGUUACAAUGGGGGGUACAGAAGGCAGCUAGCGGGUGACCGUAUGCUAAUCCCAAAAUCCUCUCUCAGUUCGGAUCGAAGUCUGCAACCCGACUUCGUGAAGCUGGAUUCGCUAGUAAUCGCGCAUCAGCCACGGCGCGGUGAAUACGUUCCCGGGCCUUGUACACACCGCCCGUCAAGCCAUGGGAGCCGGGGGUACCUGAAGUACGUAACCGCAAGGAUCGUCCUAGGGUAAAACUGGUGACUGGGCCU